UCACUGGCGGAGGGUGAGUAACGCGUGACACCUGCCUUCAGGUUCGGGACAACCACGGGAAACGGUGGCUAAUACCGGAUGUGCUUUACGGUGAAAGAUUUAUCGCCUGAAGAGGAGCUCGCGUCUGAUUAGCUAGUUGGUAAGGUAAGAGCUUACCAAGGCGACGAUCAGUAGCUGGUCUGAGAGGAUGAUCAGCCACACUGGGACUGAGACACGGCCCAGACUCCUACGGGAGGCAGCAGUGGGGAAUUUUCCGCAAUGGGCGCAAGCCUGACGGAGCAAUACCGCGUGCGGGAGGAAGGCUUUUGGGUCGUAAACCGCUUUUAUUGGGGAAGAAGAUCUGACGGUACCCAAUGAAUCAGCAUCGGCUAACUCCGUGCCAGCAGCCGCGGUAAUA
rnacentral:rRNA from 1 species